AGGAUAAACGCUGGCGGCGUGCCUAACACAUGCAAGUCGAACGCGCUUUCGGGCUUCGGUGCGAGAGCGAGUGGCGGACGGGUGAGUAACACAUGGGUACCUACCUUGGAGUGAGGGAUACCGGCGAGAAAUCGCCGACAAUACCGCAUAGGCUUCUUCACAAGGGAAGCAAAGUGACGCGAGUCACGCUUUGAGAUGGGCCUGUGGCCGAUUAGCUAGUUGGGGGGGUAACGGCUUCCCAAGGCGACGAUCGGUAGCUGGUCUGAGAGGACGAUCAGCCACACUGGGAUUGAGAACGGCCCAGACUCCUACGGGGGCAGCAGUGAGGAAUUUUCCGCAAUGGAGGCAACUCUGGCGGAGCAACGCCGCGUGCAGGAGGAAGGUUUUCGGAUCGUAAAACUGACUUUUCUCGGGGACGAGGCAAAGGGACGGUACCCGAGGAAGAAGCCCCGGAUAACUACGUGCCAGCAGCCGC
rnacentral:rRNA from 1 species